rnacentral:rRNA from 1 species
UACGUAGGGGGCAAGCGUUGUCCGGAAUCAUUGGGCGUAAAGCGCGCGUAGGCGGAUCUGCAAGUCGGGGGUGAAAUCCCGAGGCUCAACCUCGGAACUGCCUUCGAUACUGCGGGUCUCGAGUCCGGGAGAGGUGAGUGGAAUUCCUAGUGUAGAGGUGAAAUUCGUAGAUAUUAGGAAGAACACCAGUGGCGAAGGCGGCUCACUGGCCCGGUACUGACGCUGAGGCGCGAAAGCGUGGGGAGCAAACAGG